CAGGGGGAUCCCCAGCAGUGUGCUGGCGGCAGGGACCCUGACAAGGUCUGGAGCCUCAGAGCGCACCUGCCCCCACUUACAAGCCCCGGCCUCGGGGAUUGGGUGGAGUGUCCCCUGCCUCCAACGGCUCCCAGAUGAGUCAAAAGGGGGCACAGUGGCAGCAGAAAUCUUGUCACAUGGCUGUCAUCUGUAACGGCAGCGUUCUAUGUGGAGUGCGUCACGGCCAUCAGUGAUCUUCUGGGGGACUGCCUUCACCUGCUGCUUCCUGUACCCACUGUCCUGAUUUCCAUCACCAUAGAUGAGUUUGGCCUGUUUUUGAAUUUUGUAUGAGAGAAACAUACAGCAUGUUCCUCUUUUCAUGUCUGGCUUUGUCUCUUAGCAUGGCGCCCAUCAGGUCCAUCCAUGGCUGUGUAUAUCCACGUCCAUUCCUUUUCAUGGUGAAUGGGCUUCCACUGGGUGGACAUGCAAGGUCUACUGUGGACAGACAUCUUGGUUGUUUUUGGGUUUUGAUGAUUUUGAAUAAAGCUGCUAUGAACAUUCAUGUACAAGUCUUUUGAUGGACACGUAUGCUAAGUUUUGUGCUAUGGGCUUAGGGUAGAUCUGCUGGGU
rnacentral:lncRNA from 10 species